rnacentral:snoRNA from 1 species
AUUCCAAGUAAGUCUAUGUUUAUAUGAUUCAUGGAAAGCCUAGCUUAAUCAUGAGAGUCACUGAUUGCACUUUUCAUUUCCUAGGUUUUUCAAUACUACCUCAACAGACACAU